GAGUAGCAAUACUCAGUGGCGCACGGGUGCGUAACACGUAGAUAACCUGCCCCGAAGAGGGGGAUAACGUUCCGAAAGGAGCGCUAAUACCGCAUAACGCCGAGAUGGGUUCGCCUGUUUCGGACAAAGGCUGGGACCAGCAAUGGCCAGUCGUUUUGGGAGGGGUCUGCGGCCCAUCAGCUAGUUGGUAAGGUAAAGGCUUACCAAGGCAAAGACGGGUAGCUGGUCUGAGAGGAUGAUCAGCCACACUGGUACUGGAACACGGACCAGACUCCCACGGGGGGCAGCAGUGGGGAAUCUUGGUCAAUGGGCGCAAGCCUGAACCAGCGACGCCGCGUGAGUGAUGAAGGCCUUCGGG
rnacentral:rRNA from 1 species